rnacentral:rRNA from 1 species
GACGAACGCUGGCGGCGUGCUUAACACAUGCAAGUCGAGCGGAAAGGCCCUUCGGGGUACUCGAGCGGCGAACGGGUGAGUAACGCGGGAGUAACCUGCCCCAGACCUUGGGAUAACCCUCGGAAACGGGGGCUAAUACCGGAUACGUAACAGAUUCGCACGAGGUCUGUGUGGAAAGGUUUUCGGUUUGGGAUGGGCUCGCGGCCGAUGAGCUUGGUGGUGGGGUGAUGGGCUGCCAAGGCGACGACGGGUAGCCGGCCUGAGAGGGCGACCGGCCACACUGGGACUGAGAGACGGCCCAGACUCCUACGGGAGGCAGCAGUGGGGAAUAUUGCACAAUGGGCGGAAGCCUGAUGCAGCGACGCCGCGUGAGGGAUGACGGCCUUCGGGUUGUAAACCUCUUUCGGCAGGGACGAAGCGUAAGUGACGGUACCUGCAGAAGAAGCGCCGGCCAACUACGUG